rnacentral:rRNA from 1 species
GAUGAACGCUGGCGGUAUGCUUAACACAUGCAAGUCGAACGAGAGUUUUUAACUCUAGUGGCGAACGGGUGCGUAAUACGUGAGAAUCUGCCCUUAGGAGAAGAAUAACUACUGGAAACGGUAGCUAAGUCUUCAUAUGCCGAGAGGUGAAAUAGUUUCAACUGCCUAAGGAUGAGCUCACGCCUGAUUAGCUUGUUGGUGAGGUAACGGCUUACCAAGGCCACGAUCAGUAGCUGGUUUGAGGGAACGAUCAGCCACACUGGGACUGAGACACGGCCCAGACUCCUCCGGGAGGCAGCAGUGAGGAAUUUUCCGCAAUGGGCGAAAGCCUGACGGAGCAAUACCGCGUGAGGGAUGAAGGAUUUUGGUCUGUAAACCUCUUUUCUCAAGAAAGAAGUUCUGACGGUACUUGAGGAAUAAGCAUCGGCUAACUCCGUGCCAGCAGCCGCGGUAAUACGGGGGAUGCAAGCGUUAUCCGGAAUCAUUGGGCGUAAAGCGCCUGUAGGUUGUUUAGUAAGUCUGUUGUUAAAGACCAGGGCUUAACCCUGGGAAAGCAAUGGAAACUACUAGACUUGAGUAUGGCAGGGGUAGAGGGAAUUU